rnacentral:lncRNA from 10 species
GUCCAGAAGCCAGAAUCUUCUCACUGCCCCGUGUCGCUCCCGCAAGGCCUACCAGAGGACCCUCAUGGUGUGGUAGGGGGUCCUGGCAGGGGCCAGGGGCCAGGGUGGAGACUUGGCAGUGGGGGUGGGUUUGGUGUCCCCACAGACGAGUUUGCCGUGAGCAUUCCUGGAUGUGGCAACCUCAGUCUCAAGAAGAGCGACAGGACGCCAGCUCCCAUGCAGAGACAGAUCCAGCUUCUUGCAUGACUGCCUGAAAUCCGCCUCCUGUCAGAUCAGCAGGGGCAUUGGAUUAUGAUAGGAGUGAGAACACCAUUGUGGACUGCGCAUGCCAGGGAUCUAGGUUCCGCGCUCCUUAUGAGAAUCUGAUGCCUGAUGAUCUGUCACUGUCUCCCAUCACCCCCAGAUGGGACUGUCUAGUUGAAGAAAAACAAGUUCAGGGCUCCCACUGAUGCUACGUUACGACAGAGUCUCACCCUGUCGCCCAGGCUAGAGUGCAGUGGUGAGAUCUCAGCUCACUGCAACCUCCGCCUCCUGUGUUCAAGCGAUUCUCCAGCCUCAGCCUCCCAAGUAGCUGGGACUACAGGUGUGUGCCACCACGCCUGGCUAAUAUUUUUGUAUUUUUAGUAGAGA